GUUCCAUCAAAGCUAAAGCCUCAUAAUAUGCUUAUGCAACUAAUUUCUUGUGGAUCAAUUUCAGUUAAGGAUCAUAGAUUUGGCUUUAUACAUACAUACAAACCAAGAUUAAAUUUAGGAAAACUUGAUUGCAUUACAAGGAAUAAGAGUUUAAUGGGUUUGAAUUUGGAAGACGAGGAAUAUAUCUGUGCAAGCUGGACGGAGUCUACUAUCCCCAAGGAAAACCAGUCAUCCUUCGUCACUGCUGAGAGGACAAAUAGAAAGCCUGAAGAUUCAGUUCAAAGUAAAGAGGGGGCAAGUUCUAGAUGCUCAAAGUACGUUAGACAUUCCACCACCAAUGUGCCAAAAAAUGAGUCAUGGAGAUGAUCCCAUAUUUCGGAAGGAGAAACAUGAAGUUUGCGAAUCAUAAAUCCUUUUUG
rnacentral:misc_RNA from 1 species